AUGGUCACGACGGCGUCGGCGCGCGCGCACCAGCAGCACGGCGGGAAGCAGCAGCAGUACCAGCCGCUGCGGCGCAUUGAGGGGCUGAGCCUGAGGUCCGCGCUCCGCAGCGACCCGCGCGUCCCCGCGCUGGCCGCGGCCGCGCUCCUCGUCCCGCUCGGCGCCGCGCUGCUGGCCCUCUCCGGCCUCUUCCUGCUGGCCACGCUCGCCGGCGUCGCGCUCUCGGCGCCGCUCAUCCUGCUCUUCAGUCCGGUUCUCGUGCCCGCCGCCCUCGGGGCCGCGCUGGCCGUCGCUGGGCUCGCCGCCGCUGGCGCGCUCGCCGUCUCGGGGCUCUCGGCGCUCGUCUGGGUCGUGGGGUACGUCCAGAGGGGCCUGGCGCAGGGCGACUCCGGCCGGGUGGGCGGAAUGGUGGUGCAGCCGUUGGACAGCGGGAAGCGGCACGGCAGACAGGGGGCGCCGGCCUUCGUCGGGCACAGAGUCGGGGACGAGGCCGUGGACGCUCUGGGCACCACCAAAGCGCGGGACGUCGCCAGCACCUAA
rnacentral:rRNA from 1 species